rnacentral:rRNA from 2 species
UAUUAGAGGCAUUGCCUGCCCAGUGACUAAAGUUAAACGGCCGCGGUAUCCUGACCGUGCAAAGGUAGCAUAAUCACUUGUUCCUUAAUUAGGGACUAGAAUGAAUGGCUAAACGAGGGUUCAACUGUCUCUUACUUUCAAUCAGUGAAAUUGACCUUCCAGUGAAGAGGCUGGAAUACUAAAAUAAGACGAGAAGACCCUAUGGAGCUUUAAUUUACUAGUUUAAUUUAUAUAAUAACAACCUAAUGGACCAAGACAAAAUAAAUAUAAACUAAAAAUUUCGGUUGGGGUGACCUCGGAGAAUAGAAAAUCCUCCGAAUGAUUUUAACCUAGACCCACAAGUCAAAGUAAUAUUAAUAUCUUAUUGACCCAAUUAUUGAUCAACGGACCAAGUUACCCUAGGGAUAACAGCGCAAUCCUAUUUAAGAGUUCAUAUCGACAAUUAGGGUUUACGACCUCGAUGUUGGAUCAGGACAUCCCAAUGGUGCAGAAGCUAUUAAUGGUUCGUUUGUUCAACGAUUAAAGUCCUACGUGAUCUGAGU